GCACAUGUCGAUAUGUCCGAUAGUGGUAUUUUCUUUGGGGAGGACUUUAUCUGGAUAGACAUACCAGAAGAUCCCAACGAUUUGCUGAUAACACUGCCGGAGGACAAGGCCCCAGCAGUCAUUACAGUCAGAAACGCCGACCCCUACAAGAAUGUGUGGUGUGAGGGAAAUAGGUACAUAAAGGACGAGGAUUUGUAAAGCUCGUCAGAUAGACUCCCAUUUUAUCACGACCAAACUAGCCCCGACCAAACCUACAGAUUUGUGGAAGGACACAGUUAUAUAUAUUAAGUUUUUAUGAUUUUGAUUAUUUUAGUACGGAUUUUUUGUAAUUUCACAGGUUCUUAAUUAAAUUACUUCACAAAGAUAUGUAAUUAAAGCUAUUUAUAGAGAUCUAUAUUUUUAUAUUAUAUCAGUCAUUGUGAAUUGAUCCCAGUCAUUAUACGCCUGAGAACGACAUUAUUAUUAAUAAUUUAAUAAUAAAUAUUUAUAUUAUUUUUAAGUGCAUGUAUAUUUUAUAAAUUUUAUAUAUUUCUUAGACGAUUUUAAGAAAGGAAAAGUCAGGGAUUUUUAUGACUUCUCCCUAGGACCAACAGUUAAUUUUGACAUAAUCCGAUUUGGUGUUUCAGAAUGUUUUAUUAAUUAAUUUUUAAGUUUGAAAAUUAAAGCUGAA